rnacentral:tRNA from 1 species
AUAAGGGUAGCAGAAUAAAAUGUAUUAGAUUUAGGUUCUAAAGGUUAAAGAGUUACAAAGCUUUUUCUCUUAUA